rnacentral:rRNA from 1 species
CGUGGCGGAGCUUACCAUGCAAGUCGAGCGGGCGUAGCAAUACGUCAGCGGCAGACGGGUGAGUAACGCGUGGGAACGUACCUUUUGGUUCGGAACAACACAGGGAAACUUGUGCUAAUACCGGAUAAGCCCUUACGGGGAAAGAUUUAUCGCCGAAAGAUCGGCCCGCGUCUGAUUAGCUAGUUGGUGAGGUAACGGCUCACCAAGGCGACGAUCAGUAGCUGGUCUGAGAGGAUGAUCAGCCACAUUGGGACUGAGACACGGCCCAAACUCCUACGGGAGGCAGCAGUGGGGAAUAUUGGACAAUGGGCGCAAGCCUGAUCCAGCCAUGCCGCGUGAGUGAUGAAGGCCCUAGGGUUGUAAAGCUCUUUUGUGCGGGAAGAUAAUGACGGUACCGCAAGAAUAAGCCCCGGCUAACUUCGUGCCAGCAGCCGCGGUAAUACGAAGGGGGCUAGCGUUGCUCGGAAUCACUGGGCGUAAAGGGUGCGUAGGUGGUUCGGUAAGUCUGAUGUGAAAUCCCGGAGCUCAACUCCGGAACUGCAUUGGAUACUGCCGGACUUGAGUGUGGGAGAGGAGAGUGGAAUUCCCAGUGUAGAGGUGAAAUUCGUAGAUAUUGGGAGGAACACCCGUGGCGAAGGCGGCUCUCUGGACCACAACUGACGCUGAGGCGCGAAAGCUAGGGUAGCAAACGGGAUUAGAUACCCCGGUAGUCCUAGCCGUAAACGAUGGGCACUAGGUGUUGGAGGUAUCGACCCC